rnacentral:rRNA from 1 species
GGCGGCGUGCCUAACACAUGCAAGUCGUACGAGAAAGCCGGCUUCGGCUGGUGAGUAAAGUGGCGCACGGGUGAGUAACGCGUGGAUAAUCUGCCCUUAAGUGUGGAAUAACGUACCGAAAGGUGCGCUAAUACCGCAUAAUGCCUGGCAACACAAGUUGUCCGGCCAAAGAAGGCCUCUGUUUACAAGCUUUCGCUUCAGGAUGAGUCCGCGUACCAUUAGCUUGUUGGUGGGGUAAUGGCCUACCAAGGCUGCGAUGGUUAGCUGGUCUGAGAGGAUGAUCAGCCACACUGGAACUGAGACACGGUCCAGACUCCUACGGGAGGCAGCAGUGAGGAAUAUUGCGCAAUGGGGGCAACCCUGACGCAGCAACGCCGCGUGAGUGAGGAAGGUUUUCGGACCGUAAAGCUCUGUCGAGUGGGAAGAAGUGUAUCAUGGCUAAUAUCCGUGAUAUUUGACGGUACCGCUAGAGGAAGCACCGGCUAACUCCGUG